rnacentral:rRNA from 1 species
UAGGGAAUCUUCCGCAAUGGACGCAAGUCUGACGGAGCAACGCCGCGUGAGUGAAGAAGGAUUUCGGUUCGUAAAACUCUGUUGUUAGAGAAGAACAGCGCAUAGAGUAACUGUUAUGCGUGUGACGGUAUCUAACCAGAAAGCCACGGCUAACUACGUGCCAGCAGCCGCGGUAAUACGUAGGUGGCAAGCGUUGUCCGGAUUUAUUGGGCGUAAAGCGAGCGCAGGCGGUCAAUUAAGUCUGAUGUGAAAGCCCCCGGCUCAACCGGGGAGGGUCAUUGGAAACUGGUUGACUUGAGUGCAGAAGAGGAGAGUGGAAUUCCAUGUGUAGCGGUGAAAUGCGUAGAUAUUAGGAGGAAUACCGGUGGCGAAGGCGACUUUCUGGCCAUAAUCUGACGCUGAGGCUCGAAAGCGUGGGUAGCAAACAGG